GCUUGCAGAAGAUAGUAAAGUGGCGCACGGGUGAGUAACGCGUGGGUAAUCUACCUCUAACUCGGGGAUAACAUUGCGAAAGUGAUGCUAAUACCGGAUAAUACCUAAUUUGCUUCGGCAUUUUAGUUCAAAGGUGGCCUCUAUAUAUAAGCUACUGAUUGGAGAUGAGCCCGCGUACCAUUAGCUUGUUGGUAGGGUAAUGGCCUACCAAGGCUACGAUGGUUAGCUGGUCUGAGAGGAUGAUCAGCCACACUGGAACUGACACACGGUCCAGACUCCUACGGGAGGCAGCAGUGAGGAAUUUUGCGCAAUGGGGGAAACCCUGACGCAGCAACGCCGCGUGAGUGAUGAAGGCUUUCGGGUCGUAAAGCUCUGUCAAGUGGGUAGAACCUGCCCUUUUCUAAUAUGACUGGGCACUGACGGUACCACUGAAGGAAGCACCGGCUAACUCCGUGCCAGCAGCCGCGGUAACACGGGGGGUGCAAGCGUUAUUCGGAAUCACUGGGCGUAAAGAGCGCGUAGGCGGUCUUUUAAGUCAGAUGUGAAAGCCCGGGGCUCAACCCCGGAAGUGCAUUUGAAACUAAGGGACUUGAGUAUGGGAGAGGGAAGUGGAAUUCCUGGUGUAGCGGUGAAAUGCGUAGAUAUCAGGAGGAACACCGGUGGCGAAGGCGACUUCCUGGACCAAUACUGACGCUGAGGCGCGAAGGCGUGGGGAGCAAACAGGAUUAGAUACCCUGGUAGUCCACGCAGUAAACGUUG
rnacentral:rRNA from 1 species